rnacentral:rRNA from 1 species
GGAUKAACGCUGGCGGUGUGCCUAAUACAUGCAAGUCGUACGCAUUCCCGUUUUUGAUUGAAGGUGCUUGCMCCUGAUUGAUWAMACAUCGGAAUGAGUGGCGGACGGGUGAGUAACACGUGGGUAACCUGCCCMSAAGUGGGGGAUAACAUUUGGAAACAGAUGCUAAUACCGCAUAAUARAUAGAACCACAUGGUUYUWUUUUGAAAGAUGGCCUUUGUGCUAUCACUUCUGGAUGGACCCGCGGUGUAUUAGCUAGUUGGUAAGGUAACGGCUUACCAAGGCAAUGAUACAUAGCCGAACUGAGAGGUUGAUCGGCCACAAUGGGACUGAGACACGGCCCAUACUCCUACGGGAGGCAGCAGUAGGGAAUCUUCCMCAAUGGGCGCAAGCCUGAUGGAGCAACACCGCGUGAGUGAAGAAGGGUUUCGGCUCGUAAAACUCUGUUGUUAAAGAAGAACGUAUCUAARAGUAACUGCUUAGGUAGUGACGGUAUUUAACCASAAAGCCACGGCUAACUACGU